GUGCUCCCUCCGGUAGCACAUUUAUUAAAAUUGGAACGGUACAGAGAACAGUAGGGUGGCUUCUGAGCAAGGACAACAUGCAAAUCUGUGAAGCUUACGUACUUUUU